CCAUUGCAUAUUCUUUGAGAAUUCAGAAAAAGGGUUCGUCGGUCUUCUUCUGUCUGAUGCACACAAGUUCAUCAGAUGCGUGCUACUACCAAAGUUCCCAUUUCCCUGCCUAAUUAAAAGAUUUUUUUACAGUCUUAAUAAUUAUUUAUAUAUAAUAAACAUUGUAUAUGGUUGUAGCUGAGCUCUUUUUUUGCUUGUUUGAAUUCUGGGUCGUCGAGUUUUGAGAUCUUGAUGCUCUGUAACUUUUGAGUUCGUUCUGAAGGCUCAGUGUUCUGUGAUUUCUCUGUAAUCUUGCCUCUCUGGGUUGGCUUUAUUUAUUUAUUUUGGGUUUUUUAUUUUUUCACAAUUGCAUAUUAUUUUGUUCAAUAUUUGAAGGAAAUUCCUGGAGCAUUUCAGUACAAUUUGCUCCCCUUUUUUGGGGACUUUCAUAUCGUAGUGGAUCUGUACAAUUUUCUCUAUUUUCUUUUCAAAGUUGGUUUUGCAUUUUCUGUUUGGUUUCCCAGAAAAUUUAGGGAGAUGAGAAGAUGGAGAAUAAAAGUAUUUAAAAAAUGGUAAUGCUCUAACGCAAUCAAUAUGCUAAUAACCCAGUUGACUUUUUUCCUUUUAAAGAAAGUAUAAAAACGCGGUUCUCUUUUCAAUUUGUUUUUAAUGGUACAUUUGGUUUGACUUCUGAUGGAAGCACAUUACAAGCAGCAAAGUUUCCUAUUAAGCUUGUGAGGUGAAGUUGUGGAGGGAGGAUACUUGUUGUGUUUGUUACAACCUUUCGUUGUCGGUGAAUUUACUUUCCUAUUUUGCAGUGUAGUUGCUAAUGUCUCCACCACUAUUGGGCGGUGAGGAGGAAGGGAAGAGCAAUGGGUCUAUGGACUGUAUCUCACAUAAUGGCUCUGGACUGAAAGAACUUAACUACCAUGGGCUGUCAGACUGUUCUUCAGUCAACAGCUCCGUGGUCUCAAACUUGUCAGAGGGGAAUAAGAACAAUCUGAAUUUAAGGCUCCAGAGUUGAGGCUCGGUCUUCCUGCAUCCCAAUCACCAGAACGGGAAUCAGAUCUUUGCUUGCUGAGCUCAGGGAAACUUGACGAGAAACCACUGUUUCCUUUGCUUCCUUCAAAAGAUGGAAUCUGAUCCUCAUCACAGAAGGAUGGAGUUUCAGGCAACAAAAGGGGCUUUGCUGACACCAUGGACAGAUUCUCUGAAGUGAAAAGUUCUGCAUAUACUGAAGGAAUGGAUGUUUCAUGCAGCUGGUUCUGAUUCUGAAUCUCCAGAAUCUGUGGGACAAGGGAAGUUCCCUUUGAAUUCAAUCAAUGUAAUGCUAUCAUCCAGGCCUUCUGGGACUCAGCCAACCAUAACAAAAGAGGCAUGUACUAAAGUCUUACAAGAACAGUCUAAUGCUACAAACGGAGGCAGCCAUAACCCUUUGGGUGCUUCUAACAACGGCAGUGCCCCAGCUGCUAAAUAAGUCAACAUUUUAGAUGGAGAACUAUGAAGUUUUAUAUGAAAUUUGUGGUCUGUUUGUAAUUGUAGCCGCUUUUGGUUGACAGGGCACAAGUUGUUGGAUGGCCUUGAAUUAGAUCAUUUAGGAAGAAUUCUCUAGCCACCACGUCAAAGAAUAAUGACGAAGUGAAUGGAAAACCUGGUCCCGGUGGACUUUUUUUCAAGUUCAGCAUAGAUGGGGCUCCCUACCUGAGAACAUAUUCUACAUUUCAAGAUCUGUCUUCUGCUCUGGAAAAAGAUGUUCAGCUCUUUUAUCAUAGGGCAAUAAGGGUCCCGUGGAGCUCCAGGGAGGGAAAGACCGAGUGAGAGUAAGCUGAGAGAUGAUCUUCAUGGAUCAGAAUAUGUGCAUAUAUACGAGGAUAAGGAUGGUGACUGGAUGCUUGUUGGGGAUGUCCCGUGAGACUCCUAGGACCAUGGAGAAGUCCAAGAACCGUAACUAGCCAGUGGCAGAAAUCGACUGCUUCAGGUUGCCAAAUUCAAAGUAAACAUCUGAGCUAUGGGGAAAGAGGUGUGAGCUGCUAAAGUGGGAACUUUGGAAGGAUACACUGGCAGUGGCCUUGGGCUGGAUGGUACAUGGUAGCAUUGCGUCGAGCAGCUUGUCUUGUUCUUGUUUUGAUGUUUGAGUCGCGUCGUUUUGUGUCUGUUUAUUAUAAAACAUCUUAAAACUGGUUAAGAAUGUUAGUAAUUUGUGGAAUUGAUAAUGUUACAGCCAAUUUAGUUGAAAUUGUUUAAUUUGAUGAAUCUGUGAUGCUGAUUAUUAUUUUUGCAUA